UACGUAGGGUGCGAGCGUUGCCCGGAUUUAUUGGGCGUAAAGAGCUCGUAGGCGGUUUGUCGCGUCGGCCGUGAAAUCUCCACGCUUAACGUGGAGCGUGCGGUCGAUACGGGCAGACUUGAGUUCGGUAGGGGAGACUGGAAUUCCUGGUGUAGCGGUGAAAUGCGCAGAUAUCAGGAGGAACACCGGUGGCGAAGGCGGGUCUCUGGGCCGAAACUGACGCUGAGGAGCGAAAGCGUGGGGAGCAAACAGG
rnacentral:rRNA from 1 species